rnacentral:tRNA from 1 species
GAACGUAUGGCUUAGUAGUCAGAGCCUUUGGACGGUUUCCAGGACGCGCUGGUUCGAAUCUCGCUACGUUUA